rnacentral:rRNA from 1 species
GACGAACGCUGGCGGCGUGCUUAACGCAUGCAAGUCGAACGGAAAGGCCCCUUUGGGGGUACUCGAGUGGCGAACGGGUGAGUAACACGUGAGUAACCUGCCCUUGACUUCGGGAUAACUUCAGGAAGCUGGGGCUAAUACCGGAUAGGAAUCCUUGCUGCAUGGUGGGGGUUGGAAAGCUUCGGCGGUUUUGGAUGGACUCGCGGCUUAUCAGCUUGUUGGUGGGGUAGUGGCUUACCAAGGCUUUGACGGGUAGCCGGCCUGAGAGGGCGACCGGCCACAUUGGGACUGAGAUACGGCCCAGACUCCUACGGGAGGCAGCAGUGGGGAAUAUUGCACAAUGGGCGGAAGCCUGAUGCAGCAACGCCGCGUGCGGGAUGACGGCCUUCGGGUUGUAAACCGCUUUCAGCAGGGGCGAAGCUUUUGUGACGGUACCUGCAGAAGAAGCACCGGCUAACUACGUG